GACGAGCCGGGGGUCCCAGGGAGCGCCCCCCGUCAGACCCUGAAAACACUAGCAACACACCAUCCUCCAUCUUUGCUUCAUAAUUCAUAUUGGGUGCAUGGUGUUUGGGUGCAGUGGUUGCGUCCCAUGCCAGAGCAGUGUCUACGGGGACAGACAGGAUGUGGCUGUAGGGCACGCGGAGCUCCAACACACAGUACCUGUGGUCGGAGUCCGGAGUGGUGGUCAGCACGGCCGUGUAAGGGCUCACUCCCUGGUGACAAGAAGAAGAAAAUACACAAAAACACACCCAAAGCACAAAACGAUCACACAGAGGCAAACACACACACACACAGAGAAAAGACAAAGUAAAAUCUCAGUGUUGAUGACAUGAUCACAUUUUCUUAGCACAUAGGCAGCAGCCAUUGUGAGAGUAGCAAGGCUAGCUCUUUAGUAUUUGCACUGGACUGCUA
ensembl:lncRNA